rnacentral:rRNA from 1 species
UGGGGAAUUUUGGACAAUGGGGGAAACCCUGAUCCAGCCAUGCCGCGUGAGUGAAGAAGGCCUUCGGGUUGUAAAGCUCUUUUGUCAGGGAGCAAAUCCUGCCUGCUAAUACUAGGUGGGGAUGAGAGUACCUGAAGAAUAAGCACCGGCUAACUACGUGCCAGCAGCCGCGGUAAUACGUAGGGUGCGAGCGUUAAUCGGAAUUACUGGGCGUAAAGCGUGCGCAGGUGGUUACGUAAGUCUGAUGUGAAAUCCCCGAGCUUAACUUGGGAACUGCAUUGGAGACUGCGUGGCUAGAGUGUGUCAGAGGGGGGUGGAAUUCCACGUGUAGCAGUGAAAUGCGUAGAGAUGUGGAGGAACACCGAUGGCGAAGGCAGCCCCCUGGGAUAACACUGACACU